rnacentral:tRNA from 1 species
GCCUUCGUGGUGUAACGACUAACACACUCGGCUCGUAUUCGAGAGGUCCAGGUUCCAGUCUUGCCGAGGGCA